AUCUUCCGCAAUGGACGAAAGUCUGACGGAGCAACGCCGCGUGAGUGAAGAAGGUUUUCGGAUCGUAAAACUCUGUUGUCGGAGAAGAACAAGUAGGAGAGUAACUGUUCCUACCUUGACGGUACCCGACCAGAAAGCCACGGCUAACUACGUGCCAGCAGCCGCGGUAAUACGUAGGGGGCAAGCGUUGUCCGGAAUUAUUGGGCGUAAAGGGUGCGUAGGCGGCCUUUUAAGUCAGAUGUGAAAGCCCACGGCUUAACCGUGGGACUGCAUUUGAAACUGGAGGGCUUGAGUAUCGGAGAGGGUAGUGGAAUUCCCAGUGUAGCGGUGGAAUGCGUAGAUAUUGGGAGGAACACCAGUGGCGAAGGCGACUACCUGGACGAAAACUGACGCUGAGGCACGAAAGCUAGGGGAGCAAAC
rnacentral:rRNA from 1 species